rnacentral:lncRNA from 1 species
GGUGUCCUCCCUGCCCUUUCUGACCACCACAUAAGAGAUCAAAGACGUACAUUUCCUUAUUUGGCUGCAUGGAAUGCUUGGUGUGAAUCACACUGGUGAAGCUGGGAUACACCUCGUCCUAGCUAUGACCAUAAGAGAGGCUCUUCUUUUGGAAAAAGACUAGUUUUGUUCUGCAAAGCAUACUGGUGUAGCCUGUGAUCUUAUUUAAUGCGUCUAGAAAUAUCUUCCGGUUAGUGACAAUUACAGACCUGCAGCUCAUUGGGCGUCUCAAAAGUUACCACCGGACUCCGCCUCGGGCGGCGGAGGACAGGACCCACCAACCACCCCACCUGACGUUGAGCCCAGGCGACGUCAGGUGGGGCCGUACCGAGUGACGUGGCAGCAUAUCCAUGUGGCUGAGGUUGAUAACAACAGCUGCUGGCCGUCUCCAUUAGGUGACGCUGAAAGUAUGCUCAAACCGACAAAGAUUUCGCCAUACCCUCCUCUUGUUCCAAGUUGGCGAUUAACGUGGUGCCCGAGGCCAUCAUGCUACAACAACAUCACUCUUGGAGGAACAACAACUUAUCAGAGGAGGAUGAUAUGACGACAAACACUUGUGGACAACAAUUUCAGGCAUUUGGAUCAACCAAUCUUGGUUUUUUCUACGAGACUUGAAUGGCAUCACCAGGAUCCUUGGAUAAUUGCAACCUUAGCUUUCUCCUAUAUAGUUUAUCUGAAAUUUAUCUUUUUAUCUUUGCUAGCCCUUUUUUUUUUUUUCAGAUAAUGAUAUUUUGUUUAUCUGCAGCCCUUCAAAGAUAGAAGAUCAACCCAUGAUCCUCAAAAACACCUUUAGUACACAGCUGCAGUGGUUAUGGAGAGGUUGCAGAUGAUGCUGAUGUACUACAACAUCUACAAACUAGAAUUGUCCUUGUCCCGGCAUGCUAAACUUCUCACGAGAUAAUACCAUUGUUGUAGUUGAAAAUAAGACUUGCAUUGCAAUGUUCACGGC